rnacentral:rRNA from 1 species
AGAGUUUGAUCCUGGCUCAGCCUGAACGCUGGCGGCGUGGCUAAGACAUGCAAGUCGCACGGACCCGCAAGGGUUAGUGGCGAACGGGUGAGUAAUGAAUCGCUAAUGUACCCCGGACUCCGGGAUAGCUGCCCGAAAGGGCAGGUAAUACCGGAUGAUAUAACCGAACCGCAUGGUUUGGUUCUCAAGGGUCCGCCGGUCUGGGAGCAGGCGAUUUCGUAUCAGCUAGUUGGUGAGGUAACGGCUCACCAAGGCGACGACGCGUAGCCGGACUGAGAGGUUGGCCGGCCACAUCGGGACUGAGACACUGCCCGGACUCCUACGGGGGCUGCAGUAACGAAUCUUCCCCAAUGCACGAAAGUGUGAGGGAGCGACGCCGCGUGUGGGACUAAGUCCUUCGGGAUGUAAACCACUGUCAGGGGUUACCAAGUUCUGAGGAGCCCCAGAGGAAGAGGCGGCUAACUCUGUGCCAGCAGCCGCGGUAAGACAGAGGCCUCAAGCGUUAGGCGGAAUCACUGGGCUUAAAGCGUGUGUAGGCGGGUCGUUAAGUACCUUGUGAAAUCCCACGGCUCACCCGUGGAACGGCUGGGUAUACUGGCGAUCUUGGGCCAACUAGGGGCGACUGGAACAAGCGGUGGAGCGGUGAAAUGCGUAGAUAUCGCUUGGAACGCCGAAGGUGAAAACAGGUCGCUGGGGUUGUGCCGACGCUGAGACACGAAAGCCAGGGGAGCAAACGGGAUUAGAUACCCCGGUAGUCCUGGCCCUAAACGAUGUCCACUAGAUUGCGGUCCCUUUGACGGGGAUCGCGGUCGAAGCAAAAGUGUUAAGUGGACCGCCUGGGAAGUACGGUCGCAAGGCUAAAACUCAAAGGAAUUGACGGGGGCUCACACAAGCGGUGGAGCAUGUGGUUUAAUUCGAUGCAACGCGAAGAACCUUACCUACCCUUGACAUACAGUGGAUUUUGCAGAGAUGCAUUAGUGCCUUCGGGAACACUGAUACAGGUGCUGCAUGGCUGUCGUCAGCUCGUGUCGUGAGAUGUUGGGUUAAGUCCCGUAACGAGCGCAACCCUUAUCCUUAGUUGCCAGCACGUGAUGGUGGGGACUCUAAGGAGACUGCCGGUGACAAACCGGAGGAAGGCGGGGAUGACGUCAAGUCAUCAUGGCCCUUACGGGUAGGGCUACACACGUGCUACAAUGGCCGAUACAGAGGGCAGCGAAAGGGCGACCUGGAGCAAAUCUUUUAAAGUCGGUCGUAGUCCGGAUUGGAGUCUGCAACUCGACUCCAUGAAGUCGGAAUCGCUAGUAAUCGCGAAUCAGCAUGUCGCGGUGAAUACGUUCCCGGGCCUUGUACACACCGCCCGUCACACCAUGGGAGUGGGUUGCACCAGAAGUAGAUAGUCUAACCUUCGGGGGGACGUUUACCACGGUGUGGUUCAUGACUGGGGUGAAGUCGUAACAAGGUAACCGU